UACGGAGGGGGCCAGCGUUGUUCGGAAUCAUUGGGCGUAAAGGGCGCGUAGGCGGCUUGGUAAGUCCGUUGUGAAAUCCCUCGGCUCAACCGAGGAACUGCGACGGAUACUGCUUGGCUUGAGUCCCGGAGAGGGUAGCGGAAUUCCCAGUGUAGCGGUGAAAUGCGUAGAUAUUGGGAGGAACACCGGUGGCGAAGGCGGCCUGCUGGGCAGUGGCUGACACUGAGGCGCGACAGCGUGGGGAGCAAACAGGG
rnacentral:rRNA from 1 species